AGACUUCUCAGAAAAGUAUGACUCAGUUGUGAGAAAUUUCAAGAAGUUAGGGGUGUGGGGAGUAAAACUAGAGGGCUGAGGUCAAAAUCGAGCUAGGGAAGCCAUGUGCAGCCUUUUCUAAUUACUGCAUCUACUCGAACAAAGUUACAAAAUUUGGGGGUGGGUUAAGUGCCUGAAUCCUUUACCAUCCUGUAGUAAAGCCAAAUUCUUGACAUCCUCAGGAAGCCAGCCAUGAUUUAGAAAAUUCACAUCCCAUUGCAAAGCAAUUCCAGAGUUGUUUUUAAAUUAAUCUCCAGCCCUCUCUGGUGGAACGUCCCAUGCACCGUUUACACGACCAGAUUACUGCGCUUUCGUAGAGACUAGUCAGGUGACAGUGGGCUGGACUUGGCUUCUGGUGAAGUUGCCGCUGAUCUCUCCCAUUCCUUUCUCUCCUUUGCCAUGUGGUGGGUCGGUGUGUUUCUGGGGCUCUUCCUCCUAGCCUGCCCAUCUGGGUUUUUGGAUGGCACUUCAGCUCGCAAAGCUUGUCCAACUGUCCCCGUGGCUGAGCCCGAAGGCGGCUCUGUGAACAUCUCCAUACCGAAUGCCGCCUACUUUUCAGAGACGUCUUUCAUUGUGCAGAAAUAUAACGCCUCAACUUCGUCGUGGGACGAUGUCAUUUACUCCUCUGAUGAGGACUCCCAAAAAUUCCUCAGUUCCUACAAGGAGAAACUCUCCUUUUCUGGUGGAUACUUCGAGAUGGAGAACGUGAGCAAAGGGGCUGGAGGAGUUUACAGGAUUCAAGAUGAAAUGUACAGGAAGUGUGUGGCUGUCAUAAACUUGACCGUGCUGGAGCCCAGCUCAUUCCCACCUACUGUGUCUGGGACCUCCAGUGCUGAAGAGGAACCUCAUGAUGAGACCAAAGGGGAGGAGCCAGUGUCCUGGGAUCUUCCCACGAUUCUUCUGGUGGUGGCAGCAGUUGUGGUGGGAGUGCCGCUGCUAGUCUUACUAUGCAAAUGUGGGUUUCAGAAAGCUAGAGGAAAAGUGUCUGCCUAUCUGCCACGCGUCUUCAAUAAGCUGCAGCCUCAUGUGUCCCAGAAGCCUGGAAGUCCGCAGGAUUCACAGGAAUAUGAGCUCCCUGCAGUGUGUGGCAGGGACGGAGACCAGGCCCAGGGAACCAGAAACAGGAAUGGAGACCCAGCCCUGGAGAAUGGUGAGGGAGACCUGCUAAUGGGGGAGAGACGCUUCACCCAGGAAACCAGAGAAAAGGAUCCAUUAGGUGGGGACACAGACCCAGCCCAGGAAACUGGAGUAGCGUUGCAACCCUCCCAGGAUUGACCGGGAGUCUCCAGGAAUUAAAGAUUAAUUUUAAAUUAAAGAUUAUGUCAUGUGAUUAAAAUCUCCAGGAAUACGUCCAAUUAAAAUGGGCAAUGCCGAACCGGAGGGGGGGACCCAUUAGAUGGAGACAGACUUGGGCUGGGGAGCUAGCUAGAGGAGAUGAUCCCUCUUACGAUGCCCAUCAAUGGUGGGGACUAGACUGGGCGAAACUUUUCAUCUAAACCUGUUUUAUGCAGAUUCAGAUUCAGAAAAAUGCAGAUUCAGAAACCUGGAAACAUUUUGCGAAUUCAUUCAACGUUCUGCUGAAUUGUUCACGUCCAGACCCUGCCCCCAGGUCUUAAAAAGUCAAAGCAUUUUGUUUAGACACUUUCCAAACAAACAGUUUUGAUUUUUCAGUUCGACACCAUUUUUUGUUUAAAAAUGUCCUUCAGUUUUAUUUUAAAAAUUCAAAGUUACAACCCUCGAAAUGUUCCCACGUCUUUUUUUUUAAGCUUUUUGGUUCAUCAAAAAUUUGGAAAAAUUUUAGUUUUGUUUGACUUGAAACCAAUUUUUUCCAUGUUUUUUUUGUGUGUGUGGUUUUUUUUUUGCAAUUGCCAGCGACCACAAAAUUCUGUUUGCCCAGCUCUAGGGGCAGGUGAGAAUGUUAUCAGUUAUACUGUGGGUCUCUGAGUCUCCUUGUCACUCAAAGUUUUCUUACUGUAACAAAUUUAUUUGGGAUGAGGGAUGGACAAAAGCUUCCUAAAAGUGGGGGGGCUGCUGGCACCAGAUCUGUGGCCCUGCCCCUGUACCACCCCUUCUCCUUGAGGUCCUGCCCCCUCAAACCGCCCCUUUCCCUGAGGCCCCGCCCUCACACUGCCUUUCUCCCUGAGCUCCCACCUCAUAUUGCCCCUUGCCCCCAAGACCUUUCCCCCCUGGUCGCUCCUCCCACCCCUCAUCCAGUUGCUCACACUUAUGGUCGGUAAAAAGUGGUGGGCCCUGCCCCCCCCGUUCCGGCACCCCU
ensembl:lncRNA